rnacentral:rRNA from 1 species
GACAGAGGGGGCAAGCGUUGCUCGGAAUUACUGGGCGUAAAGGGCGCGUAGGCGGGAUGGCAAGUCGGUCGUGAAAUCCUUCGGCUCAACCGAAGAACGUCGAUCGAUACUGCUGUUCUUGAGGGUUGCAGAGGAGACUGGAAUUCCCGGUGUAGCGGUGAAAUGUGUAGAGAUCGGGAGGAACACCGGUGGCGAAGGCGGCUCACUGGCCCGGUACUGACGCUGAGGUGCGAAAGCGUGGGGAGCAAACAGG